rnacentral:lncRNA from 1 species
AGACUCCUCUAGAUUGGAUCAGUGCUAGCGGUCAGGUUUCCAUGUAGUCGCGAAAUGGUGACCUGGAAGAAAAUAGCCACAGAGCCACUUUUUAAACUGCCACACCAUUAUUUGUACCACAUUCUCCCAAAGGCAGAACGUUCAGCAGUCCUGCUUUUCCAGCCUUCAUUUCACCUCCAUCCUGCUUCCUGUCAGUGCCCUCCAGUAAAAUCCCACAGGAACACACCUGUAUUUGAGUAAAGCCAUACUGAAGAAGUUUUAUUCAGGAGACAGACUGAGAAGAGAGCCAGAUUACCUCCUGGGACUUUUCAAAAAUGCCUCAUCCCAAGGAACGCCCCAAGGGUCUAGAACUGCCCAUCCCAGGUCAACUGGGAAGAAGGAAAGACAAGAAAAGAACGUACAACCUGCAAAUAAUAGUAAGGGAGUAAGUGGAAAUAUGAAAUAAAUACUGAUGCGCCUGCCCCAUCUGGUCACACAGUGCUUUGAAGAAAGGCCCUUCCUUUGGGGAAAAUGACAAAGAAUUCGGCCUUCAUCAUCAAUGCUGGAGAAUAAGACAGACCUGUUCACUUCCCCUUCGGCAUGUGACGUUUGGAACACAGAUUUACGUGAGGAGCAGGAAAAGAUCAUCUCGGGCUCCUGCUGCUGCUGUCCAGCCUCCCUGGCUCUGUGCGAAGAGUGUCCUCCCACGGCACCUGGACGUCCCACCUUUGAGAGAGAUUUGCACACACCGUGACCCACGAGCAGGUCCUUGGGGCCAGAAGGAGCCUCCACUGUCAGCACAAGAGCACCACCGCCAAGUCAGACAGCUUCUUGGGUAAGUGACCUGUGCAAUUGGACAGGACCCCAUACUUAGAAGAGCGCUGUGCUUGGUUAAAUCGCAGCUGUCACUGUCUUAAAACCCUCCAAAAUUUUAUCCUUGAACUUGAGAGAUCCAGUGGGACAAGGGAGCAUGUGACGUAAGAGAUAUGCUCAGUGAGGUGUGUCCCUGUUGCUUGCUGCCACAUUCACAUGGAGCUCUGGGAUUGCCCCACGAGUAUAGCGUCCUGGUGGACCCACCACAUGUGGGAGGUCAGAAGACUCAACGCAAGUACAAGGUAAGCAUGUUAUGGGAGGCAUCUGCUUUCCAAGUGUGGUAGAAUGUGCACCAAUUGAGUUAGUUUUGUCAAAUGCUUCCAGUGUUCUGGUAAGAAUUAAAUUCAUAUGCGUGUAUGUGCUAUGAAAUCAAAUAAUUACAGUGAUCUGCACCCAAGUUAAAUGCUUUUAUAUUUGCAUUUAAAACUGGCAUUCCACAACAUAAAGGUGAGUGGUAUAAUUCAUGCUAAUAAUGUAAAAUUUUUAUGUACCCAAAAAUGACAUCAGACAGCAAAUAAAAAAUAUCAUGAGAGACUGGUGGAAGAAAGGAAAACAUUCUAUAUUUUAGCACCUUUAGUCACCUUUUUUCUUGCUUUUUGAACUCGGGGCCUCAUAUUGGUAUUGUACACGUAACAAUACCCAUUUCCUAAUUCAUCUCCAAAUGAUGGACACCCUGUCUCUACCAAGAAUGAAUCCAUCCCACUCCCUUCUCUCACUGGAACAAAGAGAGAAGAUUCUCCCUCCAUUUUUGCCCUAAGAAAAGAUCUGUCCUUCCAAGACCAUGGUUAAUACAUUCAGUUGAUUUCAUGAUUCAGAUUUCAUUUGUUCAAAAAAUAUUUGUGUGCUUAGAUAGCUAAACUUUAAUUAAUAAAAUGGUCAAUAUUUGCCCAAGAGAAGAGCUACCUCUUCUACCCUGUUUCUGACAUAGCAGAAAAUUCCUGCUGAAAUGGAGGGAUCUCAGUUCAAAGAAACAUCACUAUUGAAACUCGAGGACAGGGCUCUGGAGCAACUACCCUUCAGCAAACCUCACCCACAGCCAGAAGCUAAUGAUUUCCAGAGAUGGCCACAGCAAAGAAUUCACAGGAACAUGGGUCAUUGUGUCAAGGAUCAUGUCAAAAAGACAAGGUCACCAGUUCCAAAUAUUUCAGAGGUGAAAGGUUGUUCUUAUAAAUACUGCAUCCUCCAGAUUCAGCACGCCAUUGUAUGCUCCGUCAUAAUUUGAUGGGCCACCAGCUGUCAUUAGCAGGGCCUCCAUCCAAGUGAAAUUCCUCAGUCUUCACUAGCCAGAUGUCACUCUUACAUCAUGGUUGACAGCUUCUUGCAGGAGUGGACACGGUCAGGUUUUUGCCGCUAGAAUCCACUGAAUCAGUGGUUCACAAAGUGCAGUUCAGGGGCCCUAGGGAUUCUGGAGACCCUUCCUGUGGGUUCAUCCGAUGAAAAGUAUUUUCGUAAUAAUACCAAAAAGUUAUUUUUGUUUUUCACUUUUAUUCUCUUGAGUUGACAGUGUGGUUUCCUAAAGGCUAUUUUCAUUGUUCUGUUGGCUAACAAAUGGAAUAUGUAUUCUUGUAUUUUAAAACUUUCUCCAUUUUUAUGUCCAAUAUGGUUAAUAUUUGUAAGUAUGAUCCAGAUAAACAUCAGCUCUCUUAGUCAUCAAUAAUUUUUAAGAAUGUAAAGGGGCUCUAAGACCAGAAAGUGUAAGAAGGGCUAGACUAAGUGAAGUAGGUAUCCACCACCUUUCAGAUUUUUUCAGAGAUGAGUCUGCUUUCUCCUUACCAAGAAAAUUCUUUCCCACAAUCUUAGCAGGUACAGCGAUUCUUAUGAGAUUGUCAUGCCAAUGCCGAACAGGCAAACGCUGUGACUCAGCCUUGAUCACUUUGACAAACAAUGCUAAAGGUAUACACCUCUGGACUUUGCAAAGUGACUCUUCAUAUGACACACUGCAACCAUGUUUUGUGUAAGCAAUAAGAUUUUAAAUGUCUUUGCAUAAAGUUCUAGUAUAUAUUAAUUUUUAAAAUAAGUUUUAAAAUAUUGCCUUGUGUCCACAAACCAAAAAAAAAAAAAUGUAAAUAAAUGGCAUCUGACAGAGCUGGUACCUGGAAGAGGGAAUCUCCACUACUUCCUAAAGAAUAUCUUCAACACACAGGUAGAUACAUGCGUGCACACACACACACACACACACACACGCACACACACACAAAAUCCUUCAUGCACACAUAUGGUAUUUAAUGCAUACCCGUGACCGAACAACCAAUGCUUUUACCUUUUCAUGAACUAUGAGUCAUUCCCCUGCUCCAGAGAGGGUUUUCUGAGCUUCAUAAAUAUUGACCAUACUCCCUAAAUUCUAACAGGCGAUUUCCUUAAAUAUGAAAGCUGCUUCUCAACUUUACUCUUUAUGUUCUAUAUUCAAUCACAUGUUGACUACCAUGGAAGGAAAAAAUAUUCCAUAUAGAUGAAUACUCCUGAUAACCAAAGCUUAGCCACUUCAAGUCCCAAGACGUACUUUCAUUCAUUCAUUUAUUCAUUCAAAAACAAUCCUAGACCACAAGCCAGGAAUUGUGACCCUCAGAAUACAGUGACAAAUAAAGCAAAAUGUACCCUCAAAAUAGUUUACAUUCUACUGGAUCUUGAAUAGAAUUUGUUCUAAAAUCUAUCUGAAAUUCCUAAAAAGGGAGGUAUGUGAAGAAAAUAUUAGACAUCUGAUUUCACUUUUAUCUUAUUAUGUUUUAUGAUGUAAAUGAUAUACGAGUUUAGUAGCACAUGCAUAAAUUAGAAAUAAAUAAAAAUACACAUCUGUUGAAAGUGAGCACCCUUCAAAUGUUUACUAAUGAGGUGUGCAGUGAAAACAGGUUAGGAAUCCAGAGCACAUUUUGGGAGGCCUCCUUUUUGAAAAAAAGCCCUCCGUCUGUCAUCCUGCUGGACCCUUUCUUGGCCCCUCAGCAGCUGCUUGGGAGUUAAUCAUAAAAUUAGGAGAUGCUCUCAGCCGGUGAUGCCCUAGACCUCUUCUUUCACAGAAGCAGCAAGACCCAGAACAAUAUACAGUUCGCCUGAGCCAUCGCCCAGUGUGGCGAAGGAGCUGGAGAUGUUGCUGAAAGUGUGAUUCUGAGUCACCAUCCCCGUGGGUGGGGCCUCCUGGAAAUGCAGAGUCCUGGGCUGAGGAAUUUCCCAGGUCUGCCCUAACAGCAAGGUCCCCAGGACACUUCCAAGCACUCUAGGGGUGGAGAACCCAGGAGAGGGCAGGUGGGUGCGUGGCCAAGGCCUCCGUGGCGCAGGGGCCAGCCUCUCCCCUUGGCACGUGCGGUCGUCUUUGCCGUUGAAGGGAACCGUGGUGUGGGGAGCAGCUGCGCCGCGCUCUUUGACCCGCCGGGCUGUGCAUUGCUGAUGUUGCUAAUUCUGAGGCCGCCUUUCAGGGGCUUGUUUUCCUCUCUCCCUUUGCUGUCAGGCGGUUUGCCGUCAUUUCUCGCCGACUUCAGCGUGAUCACUACUGGUCUCUCUUCCCUCCUUCCUUGUCCCCCUCUCAUUUUCUGCUUUGACUCCGCUGUGGGCUGGGAGACUACACAAAUGGGCUGUUAGGCGUGUGUGUUAAUUAAGAGUCAAUUAGACAGAGUUAAAGUGCAUUGCUUUGUGACUGGUGUUUCCGCUGCUUCCAGCCUGUUUUGCUUCCUUCCUGCGUCUCCACCGAGUUCCAGGAGGCGGAUUGAGGGGCGCCUGACCUCCGGAUAAGUGGGGCACUAGGAUAUUUACUUUCUUGUCACAUUUCACUGCUGUCAAAGCUCAGAGGGUCUGGCCAGCCCCCCGGGGGAGCCAGUGGGCUUAAUAAUUCAGGACACCUGGGGCUGACCCGCUCCUCCGACGUUUCUCUGGGCUCAGAGUGAUUUACGCCAAGAAGGGCUGGGAUCCAGGAGGCAGGAGGAAGGGGCCGAGCUCUCCAGGGUGGACCAGGAAGAAGGAUCCUCUGAGAAAUACGCUAAUUUCCAGUUCCAGAAGGGCCUAGGCCUGUCCCCCUCUAAUAGCUGCCUGGAAUCUCAGCUGUGACACCCACUAGGGUAUCUGAAUGGGGCUCGUAGAGGUGGGAGGAACGAAGCAUGAUCAUGGGAGGGGUGCCAUCUCUAGCCUAGAAGGCAUAAUCAAUAGAUUUAACACUCGGGUUCAUGCCACACAAAAUAAUGCUCUUUAAAUAAUAAUAAAAAAACCCUUCAGUGUAUAACAGUAUCUUUGGAGCCUACGCUUUAUUUAUCUACGAUGCCAUUGUUCCAUGAUGUCAAGACAGUCGUGGAGAUCAUAAAAUUUUCAUUCUCAUCUUGCAGUGAGAAAUGAAAAUUAAUUGUCCUCAUGAUGCCGCAGGACCCUGCACCCUCCAUUGAUUACACAUAAAUACACAAUCUUUUGAAUGCAGACAACUCUUUUGUCUUUCCAAAGUUAUAAAAUGACAAAAGUAAAAACGAAGUGGGAACCCAAAGUCAAUGUUAUUUUACUUCAUGGGGUUCUGUGUUUCUUGUGAGCUAAUUUCUUGUUUUUCCCAGGAAAGGUAAUAGCUUUAGCUAAUAGCCCACAUCGGGACAUGCAUGACUGAAGCUGAAGUGUGUGUUUAUUUCAAAAAAAAAAAAA